GGGUUGUGAGGUUAAGCGACUAAGCGUACACGGUGGAUGCCCUGGCAGUCAGAGGCGAUGAAGGACGUGCUAAUCUGCGAUAAGCGUCGGUAAGGUGAUAUGAACCGUUAUAACCGGCGAUUUCCGAAUGGGGAAACCCAGUGUGAUUCGUCACACUAUCAUUAACUGAAUCCAUAGGUUAAUGAGGCGAACCGGGGGAACUGAAACAUCUAAGUACCCCGAGGAAAAGAAAUCAACCGAGAUUCCCCCAGUAGCGGCGAGCGAACGGGGAGCAGCCCAGAGCCUGAAUCAGUGUGUGUGUUAGUGGAAGCGUCUGGAAAGGCGCGCGAUACAGGGUGACAGCCCCGUACACAAAAAUGCACAUACUGUGAGCUCGAUGAGUAGGGCGGGACACGUGGUAUCCUGUCUGAAUAUGGGGGGACCAUCCUCCAAGGCUAAAUACUCCUGACUGACCGAUAGUGAACCAGUACCGUGAGGGAAAGGCGAAAAGAACCCCGGCGAGGGGAGUGAAAAAGAACCUGAAACCGUGUACGUACAAGCAGUGGGAGCACAGAGCAAUCUGUGUGACUGCGUACCUUUUGUAUAAUGGGUCAGCGACUUAUAUUCUGUAGCAAGGUUAACCGAAUAGGGGAGCCGAAGGGAAACCGAGUCUUAACUGGGCGUUAAGUUGCAGGGUAUAGACCCGAAACCCGGUGAUCUAGCCAUGGGCAGGUUGAAGGUUGGGUAACACUAACUGGAGGACCGAACCGACUAAUGUUGAAAAAUUAGCGGAUGACUUGUGGCUGGGGGUGAAAGGCCAAUCAAACCGGGAGAUAGCUGGUUCUCCCCGAAAGCUAUUUAGGUAGCGCCUCGUGAAUUCAUCUCCGGGGGUAGAGCACUGUUUCGGCAAGGGGGUCAUCCCGACUUACCAACCCGAUGCAAACUGCGAAUACCGGAGAAUGUUAUCACGGGAGACACACGGCGGGUGCUAACGUCCGUCGUGAAGAGGGAAACAACCCAGACCGCCAGCUAAGGUCCCAAAGUCAUGGUUAAGUGGGAAACGAUGUGGGAAGGCCCAGACAGCCAGGAUGUUGGCUUAGAAGCAGCCAUCAUUUAAAGAAAGCGUAAUAGCUCACUGGUCGAGUCGGCCUGCGCGGAAGAUGUAACGGGGCUAAACCAUGCACCGAAGCUGCGGCAGCGACGCUUAUGCGUUGUUGGGUAGGGGAGCGUUCUGUAAGCCUGUGAAGGUGUGCUGUGAGGCAUGCUGGAGGUAUCAGAAGUGCGAAUGCUGACAUAAGUAACGAUAAAGCGGGUGAAAAGCCCGCUCGCCGGAAGACCAAGGGUUCCUGUCCAACGUUAAUCGGGGCAGGGUGAGUCGACCCCUAAGGCGAGGCCGAAAGGCGUAGUCGAUGGGAAACAGGUUAAUAUUCCUGUACUUGGUGUUACUGCGAAGGGGGGACGGAGAAGGCUAUGUUGGCCGGGCGACGGUUGUCCCGGUUUAAGCGUGUAGGCUGGUUUUCCAGGCAAAUCCGGAAAAUCAAGGCUGAGGCGUGAUGACGAGGCACUACGGUGCUGAAGCAACAAAUGCCCUGCUUCCAGGAAAAGCCUCUAAGCAUCAGGUAACAUCAAAUCGUACCCCAAACCGACACAGGUGGUCAGGUAGAGAAUACCAAGGCGCUUGAGAGAACUCGGGUGAAGGAACUAGGCAAAAUGGUGCCGUAACUUCGGGAGAAGGCACGCUGAUAUGUAGGUGAAGUCCCUCGCGGAUGGAGCUGAAAUCAGUCGAAGAUACCAGCUGGCUGCAACUGUUUAUUAAAAACACAGCACUGUGCAAACACGAAAGUGGACGUAUACGGUGUGACGCCUGCCCGGUGCCGGAAGGUUAAUUGAUGGGGUCAGCGCAAGCGAAGCUCUUGAUCGAAGCCCCGGUAAACGGCGGCCGUAACUAUAACGGUCCUAAGGUAGCGAAAUUCCUUGUCGGGUAAGUUCCGACCUGCACGAAUGGCGUAAUGAUGGCCAGGCUGUCUCCACCCGAGACUCAGUGAAAUUGAACUCGCUGUGAAGAUGCAGUGUACCCGCGGCAAGACGGAAAGACCCCGUGAACCUUUACUAUAGCUUGACACUGAACAUUGAGCCUUGAUGUGUAGGAUAGGUGGGAGGCUUUGAAGUGUGGACGCCAGUCUGCAUGGAGCCGACCUUGAAAUACCACCCUUUAAUGUUUGAUGUUCUAACGUUGACCCGUAAUCCGGGUUGCGGACAGUGUCUGGUGGGUAGUUUGACUGGGGCGGUCUCCUCCUAAAGAGUAACGGAGGAGCACGAAGGUUGGCUAAUCCUGGUCGGACAUCAGGAGGUUAGUGCAAUGGCAUAAGCCAGCUUGACUGCGAGCGUGACGGCGCGAGCAGGUGCGAAAGCAGGUCAUAGUGAUCCGGUGGUUCUGAAUGGAAGGGCCAUCGCUCAACGGAUAAAAGGUACUCCGGGGAUAACAGGCUGAUACCGCCCAAGAGUUCAUAUCGACGGCGGUGUUUGGCACCUCGAUGUCGGCUCAUCACAUCCUGGGGCUGAAGUAGGUCCCAAGGGUAUGGCUGUUCGCCAUUUAAAGUGGUACGCGAGCUGGGUUUAGAACGUCGUGAGACAGUUCGGUCCCUAUCUGCCGUGGGCGCUGGAGAAUUGAGGGGGGCUGCUCCUAGUACGAGAGGACCGGAGUGGACGCAUCACUGGUGUUCGGGUUGUCAUGCCAAUGGCACUGCCCGGUAGCUAAAUGCGGAAGAGAUAAGUGCUGAAAGCAUCUAAGCACGAAACUUGCCCCGAGAUGAGUUCUCCCUGACCCUUUAAGGGUCCUGAAGGAACGUUGAAGACGACGACGUUGAUAGGCCGGGUGUGUAAGCGCAGCGAUGCGUUGAGCUAACCGGUACUAAUGAACCGUGAGGCUUAACCUUACAACGCCGAAGGUGUUU
rnacentral:rRNA from 1 species